CAUGCAAGUCGAACGGAGUCUGCAUGAAACCUAGUGAUUGCAGACUUAGUGGCGGACGGGUGAGUAACGCGUGGGUAACCUGCCUUGUACUGGGGGACAACAGUUGGAAACGACUGCUAAUACCGCAUAAGCGCACAGCUUCGCAUGAAGCAGUGUGAAAAACUGAGGUGGUACAAGAUGGACCCGCGUCUGAUUAGCUGGUUGGUGAGGUAACGGCUCACCAAGGCGACGAUCAGUAGCCGGCCUGAGAGGGUGAACGGCCACAUUGGGACUGAGACACGGCCCAAACUCCUACGGGAGGCAGCAGUGGGGAAUAUUGCACAAUGGGGGAAACCCUGAUGCAGCGACGCCGCGUGAGUGAAGAAGUAUUUCGGUAUGUAAAGCUCUAUCAGCAGGGAAGAAAGAAAUGACGGUACCUGACUAAGAAGCCCCGGCUAACUACGUGCCAGCAGCCGCGGUAAUACGUAGGGGGCAAGCGUUAUCCGGAUUUACUGGGUGUAAAGGGAGCGUAGACGGCAUGGCAAGUCUGAAGUGAAAUGCCAGGGCUUAACCCUGGAACUGCUUUGGAAACUGUCUAGCUAGAGUGCAGGAGAGGUAAGUGGAAUUCCUAGUGUAGCGGUGAAAUGCGUAGAUAUUAGGAGGAACACCAGUG
rnacentral:rRNA from 1 species